CGCCAUCAACAACAUCAUGACUCAUUGUAAUCGUUUCUGAAAUAAGCGAACACCUUCUGCGCCCUUAGGAGUUUGAUAUGAAUUCUAAAUGGUUUUAAAAUGGCUCCAGUAACAUAUUACGCGUACUCACGAAGUUCGCAUUCAUAUCAUGCACAAGUCGCUCGCCACAAUCUGUAUUGAAUAGUCGUAGAAGUAUUAAUGCUCAUGAUAACGAUGAUGCUGGUUUAUACAUGAACUUAGUGGAGAAGACUGCAGACAGUUUGCGGGAGGAAUUUUUACUUCGGUUCAAUUGCUUUUCCCUUUGGUUUAUAAGAACCGUUCGGCUGUUUUUCCUAGUUUCGUUGCAGGUUGGGUGGAUGAUAACAUGCUUCUUCAUUGUUCCUUUACCUAAAAACCGUAUUCACCUUUCUCAAAGAAACGAACGAGAGUAAAAGAGAGAGACAAAGACAACACGAUCUUAGAAGAGCAAUAAAGGAUAUUGAUGGGAAAACGAGUGGGCAGAGGGCAUCAAUGAAAAGCAGUGAGCGAAAUGAAAUAGUUAUGACAUUCUCUACAGGAAAAGGAAAAACAAAAUUGAAAAAUAUUGCUGUUUAUGCCAUAGGCUCUUGCAGAAUGAUGCGAUGAAUAAGGCGGGUGCGUUGUUUGAAUUACUGAACGAGAUAACUACCAAAUAAAAAUAUG